rnacentral:tRNA from 1 species
GCGGAGAUUGAAAUGAUGGUCUUUGUAACCUGUGUAAGGUUACUUACAGCAAAUCUAAAAAAAAUUAGAUAAACGUAGGUUCGAUUCCUGCUCUCCGCA